GCCAGCUGGCUCGGGGGCCUCGCUCACGUGUCUCUCCCCCAGAGAGCCGUCUUGCUGGAUUGGCUUUCUGGGCAUCUGGACAAGGUCACCUCCGAAAGGUCAGAAUUCUCCAAUGAAUUAACGAUGGCAGCAGAGAAAGCCUCUGGAGAGAGCAGGAGGGGCUGCUGCCCUGUAGAGGGUCUUCAGAAGAAUGGAAGGACGAUCCACGGCCUGCAGGUGACCUGGGAGGCAGGGCUCUUCUGGGUCAUCAGAUGUUAGAGCUGCAUCAUUUUACACACCAGGAAACUGAGGCCCAGAGUGAGGCGGAGCAUGUGACCCAAGGUCCCUGGCUGGGAUUCAGACCCCAGCGGCUGACUCUGCUUACUUGUGAGGCUCCAGGACCCGAAGGCCCUUGGUUGACAUUUAAAAAGUAGCCAAGAUGACAUCUUAACAUUUUUUUUUGAUUCCUGUUUAAUUAUGCAUUAAUGUUCACCAACAAGACAAAAAUAACAUCUUGAAAAGAUUGA